UUAUCCAUCGGAUCAGAUUCCAGGGAUUCAGGUUCUCAUUUAAAUUAAACCGUUUGGUUCAUAUUUUAAAGCAACUGAUCCGGAGUCAGCGUGUUCAAUUGAAUCACCCAUUUACACUAAAACCCAGGACUCAAGUGGAUUAACCUGAAUAGGUAAAUCCGGAAUCGAGUCAAGGGAUUCCAGGGUUCAUAUAAAAGGUAGAGAAUCAGAGUAAAUCAACUUUUAUCAGGUUUUUCCCUCACUUUAUCCUCAUUCGCUAAAAGCCGAUCGACACUCUCCGGUGAAAGUGAAAACGCGAGGUGAGAUCUUCUUCUGCUGUAUUCAAGGGUUUGCCUCUUAGGUUUCUAUUUCACUGUGUAAGGUUUACACAUUUGGCUUAGACGAUCGGCUGCCGAGGGUAGUGCAAAAUCCAUCUGAAGUCUGCGGUUUCUUUGCUCUGAUUUGCCUUAUUCCUCUGAGCCGAAAACUUUGCCAUUGAAGUGUCUAACCAAUUCCCUCCAAAACAAAAGGAAGAUUCAAGACUCCACAAGACCAGCAAGUUCUCUGUAGUAGCUAAAGGAGGUUCUGCAUCAAAUAGGUUGAAAACAAAGGUUGUGGAAUGUUCGAAUGGAUAUCAAGUUCAAGCCCAAGUUGUGAUACUUACCAGACUCCACCUAGGUCCCUAUGCUCGGAAACCUCAACUUCAUCAUCUCCUUCCCCUUCAUUAGACUAUAUCAAAGGAUACUUGAAUGGUGCAAAUAAAAGAAUUGGAGGCUCAUAUGAGGAUGUUGAGAGAUGUUCUUCACGCAGUCAAGAAGUUUGAUUUAAACAAAAAUGUAGGAUGAACUUUUUUGGAAUUUUUUGGAAAAGAAAAGUCCGAAGCCAUUGUAAUGAUAUUGAGUUCAUUAUUUUUUUUUUUUUUUGGAUAGAAAGACUUAAUUAUCAUUUACUAGUACCUGGCUGAACUCAGUACUAUAUUAUACCUUUACAUGCUUCUUCUCUCAUUUGGUCCUAAGGACCUAUAUUACUUGUAUAAGUCAUUGAAGACUAUUGUUUUUACCCACUUUGAAGCAUAUCUAUCUCCAUAAACCAAAUCA